AGAGUUUGAUCAUGGCUCAGGAUGAACGCUAGCUACAGGCUUAACACAUGCAAGUCGAGGGGCAGCAUGUUGGUUGCUUGCAACCAAUGAUGGCGACCGGCGCACGGGUGAGUAACGCGUAUCCAACCUACCCUUGUCCAUCGGAUAACCCGUCGAAAGGCGGCCUAACACGAUAUGCGGUUCACAGCAGGCAUCUAAGGUGAACGAAAUGUGAAGGAGAAGGAUGGGGAUGCGUCUGAUUAGCUUGUUGGCGGGGUAACGGCCACCAAGGCGAUGAUCAGUAGGGGUUCUGAGAGGAGGGUCCCCCANAUUGGAACUGAGACACGGUCCAAACUCCUACGGGAGGCA
rnacentral:rRNA from 1 species